AUAAAAUACGCUUCCACUACUUCCCUUUCCAGUUUGUUUUUUGACGUGUGCAGGAAGGCGGAAAGGAAAGGGAAGUAGUGGAAGCGUAUUUUAUU
rnacentral:pre_miRNA from 1 species